UUACGGCCAUAUCAAUGUUGAAACACCAAUUCUCAUAUGAUCACUGAAGUUAAGCAAUGUUGAGCCUAGUCAGUACCUUGAUGGGUGAUUGCUUGGGUAUACCAGGUG